rnacentral:misc_RNA from 1 species
AUUUCUCAACCUCACCGACUUUUGUUGUGUGAAGGCUUGGAUGUGGGGGUUGCAGGGCUCACGUUUGUGGGUCUGCUCCUCUGAAAUGCAUUAGUGGGUUAGUCCCCUAAUCUAUUGGUGUGAUAAUUAUCUACGCCGUUGAUUAGGAUGGCUGUUAAGACCUGCUUCUAACCGUCCUUUCGGACAACUCUUGACAA